UUGUACCUGGUGUGAUUAUAAAGCAAUGAGACUGAUUGUCAUUUGUCUUUUGUGGGAUCCGUCUCAGUUACUUUAUAGCCAGACCUGGUAUCUUA
rfam:Cavia porcellus supercont2_176 genomic scaffold, whole genome shotgun sequence.